rnacentral:misc_RNA from 1 species
AGUAGAUGAUGACCUAGAGAGAUUAGCCUUCUUCUCCGCCAACCACUCAUAGAAAGCGGCUAGUUGCUGCUGAUGCU